rnacentral:rRNA from 1 species
UGGGGAAUUUUGGACAAUGGGGGAAACCCUGAUCCAGCCAUCCCGCGUGUGCGAUGAAGGCCUUCGGGUUGUAAAGCACUUUUGGCAGGAAAGAAACGUCAUGGGUUAAUACCCCGUGAAACUGACGGUACCUGCAGAAUAAGCACCGGCUAACUACGUGCCAGCAGCCGCGGUAAUACGUAGGGUGCAAGCGUUAAUCGGAAUUACUGGGCGUAAAGCGUGCGCAGGCGGUUCGGAAAGAAAGAUGUGAAAUCCCAGAGCUAAACUUUGGAACUGCAUUUUUAACUACCGGGCUAGAGUGUGUCAGAGGGGGGUGGAAUUCCGCGUGUAGCAGUGAAAUGCGUAGAUAUGCGGAGGAACACCGAUGGCGAAGGCAGCCUCCUGGGAUAACACUGACGCUCAUGCACGAAAGCGUGGGGAGCAAACAGG